rnacentral:rRNA from 1 species
AACGAACGCUGGCGGCAUGCUUAACACAUGCCAGUCGAGCGCCCCGCGAGGGUACCUGUAGCCAGUUGAUUAGCGCGUGGGAACUGACUUUUUCGUUCGGAACAACUCCGUGAGACUGGAGCUACUACCGGAUACGCCCUCUCAUGGCACGUUUUAUCUCCGAACGCGCGGCCCGCGUCUGAUUGGCUCGGUGGUGAGGUAACGGCUCACCCAGGCGAAGAUUAGUAGCUGGGCUGAGAGGAUGAUCAGCCACACUGGGACUGCGACACGGCCCAGACUCCUACGGGAGGCAGCAGUGGGGAAUAUUGGACAAUGGGCGAAAGCAUGAGCCAGCCGGGCCGUGUGAGUGAUGAAGGCGUUAGGGUUGUAAAGCUCUGUUGACCGGGAAGAUAAUGACGGUACCGGAAGAAUAAGCCACGGCUAACUUCGUG